UCUGUGUGAGUCAGACGUCCCAGUGAGAGAGUCCAGAGAGACAUCUGGAUAUUCACACAACGGUCACUCAGCAGCUAAUGAGAAGCCCUGAGGGUUCAAGCCGCGACCUGGAGCUCCUCCUUAAAGCAUCAAUAACUUAAAUUAUCUGGACCUGAGAAAGAGAAAGUGAAGAAGGAAGCUAUGGAGCUGUCACUGAAGUACAGCUUUGUGACUCCUCUCCCAUCUAUGGUGGUCACAAAGCCUCCAGGAGAGAACACAGAUGUGCUUCAUAAACCCAAGGAAGGUGAAACAUCACAGAGAUGUGAUGUGAUGUUAGAAUACCUUACUCCUGAUACUGAGCAGCCGAGUUUCGCGCUUUCUGCUGCUGAUUUUGAUCCUAAGAUUAGGUCCCAUCGUUACAUCGUGUCCUAUUACUAUGCAGGUA